rnacentral:rRNA from 1 species
GACAGAGGUUGCAAACGUUGUUCGGAAUCACUGGGCAUAAAGCGCACGUAGGUGGUCCGCUAAGUCGAUUGUGAAAUUCCCCGGCUCAACCGGGGAACGGCACUCGAUACUGGCGGGCUUGAGGUCCGGAGGGGUGAGUGGAACUCCUGGUGGAGCGGUGAAAUGCGUAGAUAUCAGGAGGAACACCGGUGGCGAAAGCGACUCACUGGCCGGAAUCUGACACUGAGGUGCGAAAGCUAGGGUAGCAAAC